rnacentral:rRNA from 1 species
GACGAACGCUGGCGGCGUGCCUAACACAUGCAAGUCGAACGGAAAGGCCCUGCCUUUGUGGGGUGCUCGAGUGGCGAACGGGUGAGUAACACGUGAGUAACCUGCCCUUGACUUUGGGAUAACUUCAGGACACUGGGGCUAAUACCGGCUAGGAGCUCCUGCUGCAUGGUGGGGGUUGGAAAGUUUCGGCGGUUGGGGAUGGACUCGCGGCUUAUCAGCUUGUUGGUGGGGUAGUGGCUUACCAAGGCUUUGACGGGUAGCCGGCCUGAUAGGGUGACCGGCCACAUUAGGAUGGGAAUGCGGCCCAGACUCCAACGGUAGGGAACGGUGGAGAAUAGUGCACAAUGGGCUGAGGCCUGAUGCAACAACGCCGCGUGGGGGAUGAGGGCCUUCGGGUUGUGUUCCAAUUUCGCUUGUGACGAGGCGUGAAUGACGGUAAUGGGUAAAGAAGCACCGGCUAACUACGUG